rnacentral:rRNA from 1 species
UACGGAGGAUGCGAGCGUUAUCCGGAUUUAUUGGGUUUAAAGGGUGCGUAGGCGGGCUUUUAAGUCAGCGGUAAAAAUUCGGGGCUCAACCCCGUCCGGCCGUUGAAACUGGGGGCCUUGAGUGGGCGAGAAGAAGGCGGAAUGCGUGGUGUAGCGGUGAAAUGCAUAGAUAUCACGCAGAACCCCGAUUGCGAAGGCAGCCUUCCGGCGCCCUGCUGACGCUGAGGCACGAAAGUGCGGGGAUCGAACAGG